AAAUUCUAAAACAUUUCGUACCAAACACACAUAUUUUUCCCGUUCUUCCUUGAGCUGCACUAAUACAAAACUAGUCCCGAAAAAACGAAGGCGUCAAAACCCUAAAUCAGCAAAGAAAAAAAUGCCUAAGCCAAAACGGUAUGUAUGGAGAAUCAAGCAGAAAAAGCAGACAGCUUCAUCAUCAUCCGCACCGCCACCUCCACCUCCACCGCCGUGGGUGGAGCUCCCUCGAGAAAUAACGGCGGACAUCCUUAGCCGGCUGGGUACAGUAGAGAUAUUGCUAAAUGCACAGAGAGUUUGUAGUACUUGGUGUAAUAUUUGCCAUGACCCUAGCAUGUGGCGAGUCAUCGACAUGCGCAACGACGAAGAUACGUACAUGGAAGAUGUCUUCGACAAGUUGUGCCGCAUCGCUGUUGAUCGUAGCCAGGGCCAGUUGUUAAAGAUCAACAUCGAGUAUUUUGGUAAUCACGAUCUGCUUCAGUACAUAACACAGAGAUCAAGUCAGCUAAGGCAUCUACGACUUGUCAGCUGUGAUGAUAUUUCAAAUGGAAGUUUGGCUGCAGUUGCUAAGAACUUCCCGUUGUUGGAGGAGUUGCACAUUUACUUAACUGCUAUUUGUACUGUGGAUAUAGAAGCCGUUGGUCGUUCUUGCUCUCAGCUGAAGUCAUUUACAUUUAACGACUGUGGAUUUAGAGGAUUGACAAGAUUUAGAAGUUUACAUAUCGAUGUCAAUGAUCAAGCUCUGGCUAUUGCAGUAAAUAUGCCUGAAUUGCGACACCUUGCACUUUUUGGGAAUACCAUGACAAAUGAAGGUCUGUGUGCUAUUCUUGAUGGCUGCCCGCGGCUUGAAUCACUUGACUUGCGACACUGCUAUAGUAUUGAUCUUAAAGGAGAUCUUGAAACGAGAUGUCACCAACAUAUUAUAGAUCUGAAGUGCCCCCAUGAUUGCACUCAUGGUUAUGAAUUUAGUGCUCAAAUUUGUGAUUAUAACUCUGGCGAUGAUCAGUCUGUCUGGUUCUCAGACUAUUUCAAUGAUUUUGAGUAUGACUAUGAUGACUUUGAUUAUGACGACUUCACUAACCCUUUUAACGGCGAGUAUCUGGAUGAGGAUGGUUUCUUUUGGUGAGGUCGUUUGCUACCUUAAAUUUGUUAAUGGUUCUUGGUUGCUGGGUGAACUGCGAGUCGUCCAAAUUUGCUGUUUCCAUUUCAGUUGAAGUGGUUAGAGUGUGCACUUCGCUGGUGGCGGAUGUUUAAUCAUAGUUACUAAAGCAGGCCUUAAUCCUCUUCCCUUAGCACUUUACUGCACCAGGGACUUUUAGUAACUACUGUAUUCUCCCCUUCUGCUUUGGUUCAUGACUCCUUCACUUUAGUCAAAUUUGGCCGUGCAACUAUUAUGUGUAGUGAAACCGGAGAGAUUCUUAAUGGCUCGUUGGCUUUCAUCAUGACAACAAGCAGUAGUUUUUUUGAAUGUUUCUUCUUAAUUCUGUUUACCAAGGGAACAUCAAUGUAUUUAAAAUGUAGCUGUAGUUUAAUAUCUUUCUUUUUGUUCAAAGUUAACAGCUUUCAUUUGCACUAUGUAAAAGGGCUACUUGUUGCUUCAUAGCCCUUUUAACGAUAAUGCUCAGACUCUCCAAAAUUUGCUGCACUCGUGACCGAUCCUCCAAAAUACACUCCUAUUGAAGGAUCCGGCACACACCCAAUGGCAUGUUUGAAGAGUCUGAAUGAUAAUGUGUCUAAAAUUUUACUGUUAGAUCUGUCCUUCCUCUGCCAGCUUGAUCACUAAGGAUUGCUAUUUUCAUGUAAUGGCUCACAAUCCUCAUGUUUAGACAAUUUGAUUGGAAAAAAAUAGUGUGAGUUAUUCUUAA